UAGUUUUGCCUUUUAAAAAACAAGAGCC
rnacentral:piRNA from 1 species